rnacentral:rRNA from 1 species
GAUGAACGCUGGCGGCGUGCCUAAUACAUGCAAGUCGAGCGAACGGACGAGAAGCUUGCUUCUCUGAUGUUAGCGGCGGACGGGUGAGUAACACGUGGAUAACCUACCUAUAAGACUGGGAUAACUUCGGGAAACCGGAGCUAAUACCGGAUAAUAUUUUGAACCGCAUGGUUCAAAAGUGAAAGACGGUCUUGCUGUCACUUAUAGAUGGAUCCGCGCUGCAUUAGCUAGUUGGUAAGGUAACGGCUUACCAAGGCAACGAUGCAUAGCCGACCUGAGAGGGUGAUCGGCCACACUGGAACUGAGACACGGUCCAGACUCCUACGGGAGGCAGCAGUAGGGAAUCUUCCGCAAUGGGCGAAAGCCUGACGGAGCAACGCCGCGUGAGUGAUGAAGGUCUUCGGAUCGUAAAACUCUGUUAUUAGGGAAGAACAUAUGUGUAAGUAACUGUGCACAUCUUGACGGUACCUAAUCAGAAAGCCUCGGCUAACUACGUG